GCGCCACCUGUGUCCCUAGAUGUGAAGUACGCGAGGGAGAGAGGGACCCUAGUGCGCCCACCCCUUUGUGUGUGCGACAGGGAGCCUCCGUGCUGGGCCACCGUGCCCGCAGCCUGCCUUAAUCUUCAGCCGGGGGCCGCAGGAGUGGGCAUGAGGAGGGAAGGGGCAAAGCGAGAGGGAAUGAGGAGAGGCAGCUGCAAGUGCUUGGAUGAAACAAAAUGUCGAAAUAUUGGAGUUUUCCCCAGAAUAGGUAUUGAUCAGCUCUGGACUUCAGGCAUCCACUUUUGAAAAUUUAGGCCUACAGAUGUCAGAUGGUUAUAUGGCUUGGUUGCUCACAUAAAGAUGGAUCACUGCAUGCAGCACAUAACAGCAAGGGUCACAUCUGAGAUCAAGGACUAUGCGGGCAAGGUCUUCCUGGUGUCAGUGGAAGGAGUCUUGGUAGUGGAUGUACA